AACGAACGCUGGCGGCGUGGAUAAGACAUGCAAGUCGAGCGCUGGCUGUCGGGUAGCAAUAUUCGGCAGUUGGAGCGGCGCAAGGGUGCGUAACACGUGGGUAAUCUGCCAUGAAGUUUGGGAUAACUUGCUGAAAGGCGAGCUAAUACCGGAUGUGACAGCUGGGAGGCCUCUCCUGGUUGUUAAAGUUGGGGACCGUAAGGCCUGACGCUUCAUGAUGAGCCCGCGGCCUAUCAGCUAGUUGGUGAGGUAACGGCUCACCAAGGCUAAGACGGGUAGCUGGUCUGAGAGGACGACCAGCCACACUGGAACUGAGACACGGUCCAGACACCUACGGGUGGCAGCAGUCGAGAAUUUUUCACAAUGGGCGCAAGCCUGAUGGAGCGACGCCGCGUGGGGGAUGAAUGGCUUCGGCCCGUAAACCCCUGUCAUUUGUGAUCAAACCUCGUUAUUUAAAAGAUGACGAGCUGAUGGUAGCGGAAGAGGAAGGGACGGCUAAC
rnacentral:rRNA from 1 species